rnacentral:lncRNA from 10 species
ACUAUUUUUAAGACGGACAAGACUUGAGUCCAGCUGAAGUCUGAGAGGAAGACGUAAACAGGGAGAGGCUGGAGGCAGAAGAGAGCAUGACGGGGUAAGGGAGAGAGGACGGGGCUGGGGACCCCAAGGAGGAGGGGCAGUGCAGCCUCUGAGAUAGGGCACAGAGGGCUGAGCACAGAGAAGGGGAGGGGGCCUGUAGCUGUAGCAGGAAGGAAACAAACGGAAGCCCUCAGCCUCUCAGCCCUGGGGUGGGGAGCACAGUCGCCUGUUGAGUGUGGGGCAAGAGGUGUAGCAGGGGCCAUGCUAGUGGCUGCGGCUUCAAGGUCCAGGGUGGUGCUGGCCCAGAGUCUCAGUGUCCCCAGGGAUUUGCCAUGAUGAUUGAACGACCGUAAUGGGAUUGAGCGGCAGGGUUCUAGUGGACGCAAUGAAGCGGAUUGCAAAGAGGAAGCUGGCAGCCACACUGCUUCUCCAAAAUUAGUUUUUAAUACAUUCAGGCUUUAUACUGUUGGUUAAACUUCUGCCGGCGGACGCAGCAGCAGGCGGCCAGCGUGGUGAGGAGGAUGGCAGAGACCAGUAUGAAGGUCAAGCCAGGUGAGCUGGAACUCAGCCUGGGGCUGGGAGGCCGUCUGAAAGGCCUCGAUGCUGUUGCAGCUCAGGUCUAGCACCCGCAGCUGCUGGAGGCUGAAGUCGGAGAUGCAGGCCUCCAGGAACCCCAGCCUUUCCCAGAAAAAGGUCUGACUUCCACAAUCACCGGGCUCAGGCUCACCGCCCCCAGCUUCUGUCUCCGCCAACCCGUUCUGACCCACUCACUGCUAAAUGCCUGACAACUGCUCAAAAGCUCUACUCUGACAAUGAGGCAGCUUGGCUUAAACUUCUCCACGGUGAAGUCCAGGAUCCCCAGCAGGGCCUUCGAGGCUGUUUGUAGCCCCUGCCAACCUGUCCCCCACCUCCCACCCCAGCCCACAUGCAGUGACCACAGCUGACCACUGCCCAUCAUGCGCUCCCACACCCACUGCUGGGGCCUGCUCCCUGAGCUGGUUAUGCCAUCCCCAACCAGAUCCACACAUGAACUCUUCACACUGAGCUUCAGGGCCUCCUCCACCAGGGAGCCCUCCCUGACUGUGCUUCCUCUCAGAGCUUUGCCCCGCUGAAUUGUGGCUGUGUGUGUGAGGACCUGCUAGACAGCGAGCUCAGAGCAAACAGGGACUGGUUUGGUGGAUGUGCAUGCCUUGGACCUGACUAGCAAGUCAAUUUUUCCUAAUGAAUGAGUCCCAGACAUCAUCAGUUUAGUAAAGGUCUGAGGCACUGAAUCAAUCACUUCUCUAGGAGGAAAGAAAAUGCAUAAUUGAUAUUUUCAAAAUAUAGUCAAAGACGGGUAGAGCAAGAAGAGUUCAGCUGACCCACUUCCCAGAUGUGAACACUGAGGCCUGAAGAUGGCAGUGACUUGCGUGAAUUCACAGUGAGCCAGUGGCUGAGCUGGUAGGGAGGGAACACAAGCCGGUGUGUUCCUCCCCUGGUCCAGCUCUGCGCUUCCUCCUGAGAGCCCCAAGGUGAGUAGGGGGAGGAAGAGACCUGCCCAGCCUCAGGCCUCCGUGUGGCUCUUCUUACUCCAUGCAGCACAGUGACUCCAUGUAGCCUCCAAGGGAGGCAGCUUCACAGGGGCCUCAGGAGGCCCAGGGAUGCCCCGUCAGUUGGGCACCUGUGUGAACCUGAAACCUGCCCAGCUGCCUUGCCCAUCCUUGCCCUUCCUCCCUCACAACCUCUCUGUCUGCAGGGGCCACUAAACAUAGCCUCCUCCUCACAGCCCUUACCCCCUGGGGCAUUCCUUACUUAAAGCAGAAACAACAAAAUGACCUGUGAUGGAGCCCCAGCUGUGUCAGGCUGCGUGCUGAGUGCAGAGACCCCCUACCCCAUUAAAUCUUCCCAGGCAUUGUUCACCCUGUUCCUAUUGUACCCCUAACGAAACUGAGGCUAAGGGGAGUGGGCUGCCCAAGAUCAGACAGUCAGGGGCUCAAAACUCCCAUUUGCAAAUUCCUUUUCCUAUUGGUGCCAGCCAAGUUCUGACCACUGGGCCCUCAGCUGGUCAGCACAGCAAAGAGCAUCAUGGACCCACUUACUGACUGUUACAGUGUGGGGGGCACCGUGCUGUGCCCCGCGUGUUACCCCCGGGCAAGUGCAGAGGCAUACUGCCUCUGGAUAGGCAAAGGCUCCCUGGGGCACCAGCCCCUGAGACUUGAUCCAGGACACAAAGUUUGCCAAGCCCACAGCCCAAGACUGGCUUUCCAUUCAGGGGCCCAAGACCCCUGCUCUAGAAGCCUGGGGGCCUGAUGGUGGGCAGGGCUGCACUGGGAUGCCCAGAUCUCCAGUCCAGUCCAGGAAGAAGCUUGAAGUCCAGGGCGGUGCUCAGAGCUCCACUUCCAGGGUCUUCAUGCCUCCUUCAGCUCUGAGCUCCCAGCAUUGCCUGACUUACCGUCGGAGGGAAUUGGAGGAAUUGGCCCUUGACCAGAGUUUAGAGCUCCCACCCACUGUCCUGGGCUAUCAGGACACCCACUGCCCAGCUUCCUUUUCAGAAGCAAAGACUUGCCAUCCAACUCCAUUUCACCACCUGAUCAUGGGAGGAAAGCAGAGUAGGGAGAGGCACCAGGCAGUGAACAGUGGCAAAGGCAGCUGGGUUCGAAUCCUGUAGGUCCCUGGUGGGUCACACAUCUUCUCCUUACUUCCCGUGUGUAUUAUUCCCAUGCUGGUUCAGAAAGUGCUUUCCUAUCUCUUAUCUCAUUUCCCCAGACUCCAAAAUUCACCCGCUUCCCCUCUGCCUGUUGGGUAGUCAAGGACUUUCCCCUCUGAGCCUCGUCUCCCUGAGGUAGAAUGUGCGUUUGUAUUUGGUGACAUCUGAGGCCUUCUCUGCCCGCAAUUCUGGGCUCCGGGAAUCUUAGAAGGGCUCUGAAGAGCAAGAAAGGUGGUGGCAACAGGAGACAUUGCACCCCCAGGGAAGGGCUGCGGGCAGGCAGCUGCCUGCACUUCCUGCCUCCUGAAGCAGCUGCCGGUUCUGUG